rnacentral:rRNA from 1 species
GAUGAACGCUGGCGGCGUGCCUAAUACAUGCAAGUCGAACGGAAAGGCCUCUUCGGAGGUACUCGAGUGGCGGACGGCUGAGUAACGCGUAGGAAUGUACCCCAAAGUGAGGAAUAACUGCCCGAAAGGGUAGCUAAUACCGCAUGUGCUCUAAGGAGUAAAGCUUCGGCGCUUUGGGAACAGCCUGCGUAAGAUUAACUUGUUGGUGAGGUAAUGGCUCACCAAGGCGACGAUCUUUAGCUGGUCUGAGAGGAUGAUCAGCCAGACUGGGACUGAUACACGGCCCAGACGCAUACGGGAGGCAGCAGUAGGGAAUUUUCCACAAUGGACGAAAGUCUGAUGGAGCAACGCCGCGUGCAGGAUGAAGGCCCUUGGGUUGUAAACUGCUUUUAUAUGUGAAGAAAAUGACGGUAGCAUAUGAAUAAGGAUCGGCUAACUCCGUGCCAGCCGCCGCGGUAA